rfam:Macaca mulatta chromosome 19, whole genome shotgun sequence.
CACAAUGUUAUACUGGAGAGCAGGAAGAGCUGUGUUGGGUAUAAGUAAUAGACUUUUCCUUUUCUUCCAUGUGGCUCUUUGCA